GUACAGCCCAAAUUUACCCGGGGCCCAAACCCAAUAACCUAAGCCCAAAAAAUACCAGCCCAACUACCCAAGCCCUAAUGGCCCAAAGCAUCAAAUUAGAAAAAGAUAAAAAAAACCUAGCCCUAGUCUGCUGCCGCCGCACCUAGUGGCCUUCUGGCACCCUACUUGCCACCGUCCUUGUCCCAUCGCCUCUGACGCCUUCUGC
rnacentral:lncRNA from 1 species